UACGGGGGGGGCAAGCGUUGUUCGGAAUUACUGGGCGUAAAGGGCUCGUAGGCGGCCAACUAAGUCAAACGUGAAAUCCCUCGGCUUAACUGGGGAACUGCGUCUGAUACUGGAUGGCUUGGAUUCGGGAGAGGAAUGCGGAAUUCCAGGUGUAGCGGUGAAAUGCGUAGAUAUCUGGAGGAACACCGGUGGCGAAGGCGGCAUUCUGGACCGACAUUGACGCUGAGGAGCGAAAGCCAGGGGAGCAAACGGG
rnacentral:rRNA from 1 species